GCACAAGUAGCUCAGAGUCAGAGCGCCGGUCUUGUAAGCCGGACGCCGGAGGUUGGACUCCUCCCUUCUGCU
rnacentral:tRNA from 1 species